GAAAACUUAUCCACAUCCAAUCACCUUUUUGAGGUACUUCCUAUGAAGCUUCAGUGCAACAGCACAGGUUCUUUUCGCAUCCAAAUGCCCGUUAACAUUGUUCAAUAUCUGAAUUAAGAAAAAAAAACAAUAAAGCAAAUGUUACAUGGGGGAUGAAAUCCACACACAAAACUUUACGUGCUUUUUCUGUUCUCAAGAUCUGGGAAAAAGAGCCCUUUUACCAUGCUUGGAAAUACUUCCUGACACUUUCCUGAUACCAUCCUCGUGCCCCCGUCGUGGCUCGCCAACGUUCCGCCGGCGCCGGACACGACUUUGCGUUUUUGUCCCCACAAGUUGUUAAUAUAGGCAAUCCCCACAAGAAUUUGGCCUGCAUUAUUUCUGUGGAGUGUAUCAAAUCCUUCUGAUGUGGCCUCUUGUUUGAUCUUUGAAAGAUAAGGUGGAUUAGACUCUGACAGUAACAAUGUUGUUAGCUGGAAGUAAUUUAAGUGUGAGGACACAAGGAGCUGUUGCGCCAAGUUCAUGUCAGCUUCCAGCAGCCGGCGUGAGCUCUCAUGAUGUCAGUGUGACGCUCAUGUCAGCUUCCAUUCAUGUGUUGAUUUAUUUUGAUUGAGAUUACAGCAGCAAGGUGGAAGUUCUUCGCUUUCGCUGAUGCUGGAGCUAUAUUACUAAAGAAAUUCUUCUACUUUUCAAAAAAAAAAAGAAAUUCUUCUAAUGCUAUUGACCUUGUCGGUAGUUUUGGUGCAAUAUAAUAAUCCUUUUUUCCAAUUGUAACUUUUGCUCCUGCAUUAGAUCUAACAUCCUUAGCUUGCAGAAGCAUUGAAGCAAGAGUUAUGGGAAUUGGGGUGCCAGAACUGCCUAGCAAAUUCUGUGUUACCUGCUAUGCUGCAAGACUCCAUCAGUGGUACAUGAGCCUUCUUUGCGCUCCCUAGUUUCAAUAGUCUGCAGUCUAGCUCUGCCAUUCUGCAACUUAAGAAGGUACUAAUUUCUGAUCCAAUCAGUUAAGAAGCCUGAUAAACUGAUGAAGGCUUAUUAGAUUUUGCAUCCACAGGAUUGAGCCUCCUGUAGUAUGCAGUGCGUGACCAUUCUGGUGAAUCAUUAGCUAUAAAAUAAAUAUGGACUGUUCUGAACUAUUUCCAUCUUCCUGCAGUUCCAUGAUCACACUAGAGCAGACUGGUCAGAACAAACUAGCUUCAGUUUUGUUUGCCUUGUGGUAGACAUCCCACCAGAUGUCAGAUGAUGGUGAUUGAUAGGCAUGAAAUGUGUACCUUUCUGCAUGAGUAUAAUUUUUUACCAUGUACUGUGUUGAUUAAAUGUUUUUACAUUUUUGGGUAAACCUUUGACAGUUUCUGAAUUUGCUUUAUUUGGCAGAAUAGCUCAUUGUCAGAAAUUUUUGCUACACCAUUUUUUAAACCAAUAUAAUGGAAGUUGUUAUCUAGAAUUUAUAACAAAAGAGAUAUGUUCUUGGUAGUUUGUGAUUAAAUUUACUCCAAAUAGAAGCAUUUCACUGUUCUCAUUAUAUGAUAUCACCAUGUAUAACUAUUUGUUAGUGACUAUAGUUGUUUUCAUUAGAUAUGCAUGCCUGAAGGUGGGAAGAAUAUUUGAUUCAUAAUUCUUUUGUUGCCAUGCCCAUUUUACUAUGGUUGUUCUCAACUAAUCAACUAGUACUAAUAAUAGCUAUGUUGUUGCAUAAAAAUGUGGAUGCUUGAACCUGUAAUGUCGUCAGAUUGUGAGAUGUUGUCUCUGCAGGGAUGAUAGGAUCGAUCCUGCCUCUGAUGCUUGAUAACCUGGAGGCUACGCAGAUGGCAAACAAUGAGUUGUCUCUGCAGGCUCUGAGAUGAAUUGGUAGCGAGCAAUUAUGUGUUGUCAUGAACUAUUGACAUCUGCCUGCAGCUCCAAGCCUCCAAGAUCGCAUUACAGCAGAUUGGUCAGAACCAAAAAGCUUGACUUUUUUUUUGCAUUAUGGAUGACUUCCAAACAAGCUAUCAGAUGAUGUUGAAGGCUGAAAGAUCUCGACAGAAGUGUGGUAGACAUCCAUUUGCAUGCCUGUGAUGUAAUCCUUCAUUUGUAUGGCAAUCAUUGGCUUGAUUCUAGAUUUAAGAUAUGUAUCUACAAUGAGAUAACGACAUUUGCAAAUAAAAGUCUCUAAUGCUGAGAAUUUUACUCAAGUUGCAAAA